rnacentral:rRNA from 1 species
UACGGAGGGGGCUAGCGUUGUUCGGAAUUACUGGGCGUAAAGCGCACGUAGGCGGACUGUUAAGUCGGGGGUGAAAUCCUGGGGCUCAACCUGGGAAUGGCGAUGGAUACUGGCUCGCUAGAGUGCGGUAGAGGAGAGUGGAAUUCCCGGUGUAGCAGUGAAAUGCGUAGAGAUCGGGAGGAACAUCAGUUGCGAAGGCGGCUCUCUGGACCAGCACUGACACUGAGGCACGAAAGCGUGGGGAGCAAACAGG